AUACUGGCUGUAUCCAAGUCUCAGCCAAUCGUUGACAUAACAACAGAAUGCAGUGUAGCACGCGACCUGAAGAGACAACCAACUUACUACAGCGAGAGCUCUGGAACGGCAGCUUGCCAGUUACAGCAGGGGGUCCCCUGAACGAUAACGAAGAGGUGAGGUUACAGCAGCGGGUCCCCUGAACGAUAACGAAGAGGUAACGUUAGGUGAGGUUACAGCAGGGGGUCCCCUGAACGAUAACAAAGAGGUAACGUUAGGUGAGAAGGUUACAGCAGGGGGUCCCCUGAACGAUAACGAAGAGGUAACGUUAGGUGAGGUUACAGCAGGGGGUCCCCUGAACGAUAACGAAGAGGUAACGUUAGGUGAGGUUACAGCAGGGGGUCCCCUGAACGAUAAGGAAGAGGUAACGUUAGGUGAGGUUACAGCUGGUGGUCCCCUGAACGAUAACGAAGAGGUAACGUUAGGUGAGGUUACAGCAGGGGGUCCCCUGAACGAUAACGAAGAGGUAACGUUAGGUGAGAAGCCUACAGCAGGGGGUCCCCUGAACGAUAACGAAGAGGUAACGUUAGGUGAGAAGCCUACAGCAGGGGGUCCCCUGAACGAUAACGAAAGAGGUAACGUUAGGUGAGAAGGUUACAGCAGCGGGUCCCCUGAACGAUAAGGAAGAGGUAACGUUAGGUGAGAAGCCUACAGCAGGGGGUCCCCUGAACGAUAACGAAGAGGUAACGUUAGGUGAGAAGGUUACAGCAGGGGGUCCCCUGAACGAUAACGAAGAGGUAACGUUAGGUGAGAAGCCUACAGCAGCGGGUCCCCUGAACGAUAACGAAGAGGUAACGUUAGGUGAGAAGGUUACAGCAGCGGGUCCCCUGAACGAUAACGAAGAGGUAACGUUAGGUGAGAAGGUUACAGCAGGGGGUCCCCUGAACGAUAACGAAGAGGUAACGUUAGGUGAGAAGGUUACAGCAGCGGGUCCCCUGAACGAUAACGAAGAGGUAACGUUAGGUGAGAAGGUUACAGCAGGGGGUCCCCUGAACGAUAAGGAAGAGGUAACGUUAGGUGAGAAGGUUACAGCAGGGGGUCCCCUGAACGAUAAGGAAGAGGUAACGUUAGGUGAGAAGCCUGACCACGGAUAACGGGGAUGAGAAGGUGAUGAAGCGUUCUUCAUGAGCUGUAACCGGAAAAACAACUGGCAUUUGGAAAGUUUGAGGUGAGGGAGAAAGUGUGGCGGAACAAGUAUUUUAAGUAUCUUGCUAGCUGGAUCGAAUUCUCCGUUAGCUUACCAGAGAAAUGUUGAGCAACAUUAGCCAACUCAUCUGAUCAAAUAAUUCAGUUUAUGGUGUGAAACUAGCUUGCUAAUAAAGUCAGACAGCUAAUGUUAGCUAGCUAACGUUACAACAUCAGAUUAGCUGACGUUAGUAACCUAACCAGUUCUCUACAGUAUCAACUGGUACACGACUCCUUGCCGUUCCUCAAGUUAUAACGCAUUAGUUACUUACUGAACCCUGGCAAUCUGUGUGAAAUGUUAACUAGCUAACGAACUAACAACUAUCUGUUAACGAAUGUUUUCCCUCUACAGUAUGUGGUACAUUUUCAGAAUGAGAGAAUUAGGUGAAAAUGAGGCGUUGCUUGUUAAACAAGUGUAUUCAGGGAUGAAGUGUACCUGGAGCUGGGCCUGGUUUAAACUGGGCCUGGCUUAAUUAAACUGGGCCUGGCUUAAUUAAACUGGGCCUGACUUAAGAUGGAUGCCGCUAUAGAGGUGAAAGGAACCACACUAUCCCUCUUUCUCACUUCUUCAGUACAGCGGAUAA